CGAGGGUGCAAGCGUUAUCCGGAUUUACUGGGUUUAAAGGGUGCGUAGGUGGGUAGGAAAGUCAGUGGUGAAAUCUUCGGGCUUAACCCGGAAACUGCCAUUGAUACUAUUUAUCUUGAAUACUUUGGAGGUAAGCGGAAUAUGUCAUGUAGCGGUGAAAUGCUUAGAUAUGACAUAGAACACCAAUUGCGAAGGCAGCUUACUACACAGUUAUUGACACUGAGGCACGAAAGCGUGGGGAUCAAACAGGAUUAGAUACCCUGGUAGUCCACGCCCUAAACGAUGGAUACUCGACAUCAGCGAUACACUGUUGGUGUCUGAGCGAAAGCAUUAAGUAUCCCACCUGGGAAGUACGAUCGCAAGAUUG
rnacentral:rRNA from 1 species